UGGGGAAUAUUGCACAAUGGGCGCAAGCCUGAUGCAGCCAUGCCGCGUGUAUGAAGAAGGCCUUCGGGUUGUAAAGUACUUUCAGCGGGGAGGAAGGGAGUAAAGUUAAUACCUUUGCUCAUUGACGUUACCCGCAGAAGAAGCACCGGCUAACUCCGUGCCAGCAGCCGCGGUAAUACGGAGGGUGCAAGCGUUAAUCGGAAUUACUGGGCGUAAAGCGCACGCAGGCGGUUUGUUAAGUCAGAUGUGAAAUCCCCGGGCUCAACCUGGGAACUGCAGCUGAUAGUGGCAAGCUUGAGUCUCGUAGAGGGGGGUAGAAUUCCAGGUGUAGCGAUGAAAUGCGUAGAGAUCUGGAGGAAUACCGGUGGCGAAGGCGGCCCCCUGGACGAAGACUGACGCUCAGGUGCGAAAGCGUGGGGAGCAAACAGG
rnacentral:rRNA from 1 species